AAAACAACCUCAACAAUAGCCACCUCUGUAUAAAGGCCUCAAUGGUGUAGGGGUUCCACUGUAAUAAUCACUAGCAAUCUUGAGGAGAUUAAGCCAAUACUGAUAUUACCGUACCCUAUCAUACAUACCCAUCCUACCCCAUCCUACUUUUGACAAUGAUGACAAGUGAUUCGCGGAGGCGACAAAGAAGAAGCCCUAGCCACGUGUCAGAAGUGAUCCUAGAUCGAUCGCAGCUACUUCUUUUUCCUAGCUCCUACAGUGUCUUCUCAUCCUACUACCCAUCCUACUUCACAUUUCACAUCCUACCGAUCCUACGUGUGUCUUCUACCACGAUGGACAGUGAUCCUCGGCCUCAGAACACUCUGAACAGUGGAAGCAGUGAUGGCAAAAUCAACGGAUUUGUUGGCAAAAGGGGGAAGCCGUAUGCCAUUCCUGUUGUGAAGGUGUGUUGUAUUAAAGGCGUCCUAGCAGCUGAUAUCACUGCAUAAAAUAAAAAUAGGAUGUUGACAAUAAAACCAUAACAACACUGACGCCCAACCAUCGUGUUCUCCCAAGCAGCAACUAUUCUAAGUUCAGUGAUAUAACUCCAAUUAAUUUGAGAAAGGAAAUAAUGAGGAAAAUAAAA